AACCUGUGUGUCUGCCAAAGU
rnacentral:misc_RNA from 1 species